AGAGUUUGAUCCUGGCUCAGAUUGAACGCUGGCGGCAUGCCUUACACAUGCAAGUCGAACGGCAGCACGGACUUCGGUCUGGUGGCGAGUGGCGAACGGGUGAGUAAUAUAUCGGAACAUACCCAGUAGUGGGGGAUAACUAUCCGAAAGGAUAGCUAAUACCGCAUACGAUCUGUGGAUGAAAGCAGGGGAUCUUCGGACCUUGUGCUAUUGGAAUGGCCGAUAUCUGAUUAGCUAGUUGGUAGGGUAAAAGCCUACCAAGGCGACGAUCAGUAGCUGGUCUGAGAGGACGACCAGCCACACUGGAACUGAGACACGGUCCAGACUCCUACGGGAGGCAGCAGUGGGGAAUUUUGGACAAUGGGGGCAACCCUGAUCCAGCAAUGCCGCGUGAGUGAAGAAGGCCCUCGGGUUGUAAAGCUCUUUUGUCAGGGAAGAAACGGAGUUCUCUAAUAUAGGAUUCUAAUGACGGUACCUGAAGAAUAAGCACCGGCUAACUACGUGCCAGCAGCCGCGGUAAUACGUAGGGUGCAAGCGUUAAUCGGAAUUACUGGGCGUAAAGCGUGCGCAGGCGGUUUUGUAAGUCUGAUGUGAAAUCCCCGGGCUCAACCUGGGAACUGCAUUGGAGACUGCAAGGCUAGAGUGUGUCAGAGGGGGGUAGAAUUCCACGUGUAGCAGUGAAAUGCGUAGAGAUGUGGAGGAAUACCGAUGGCGAAGGCAGCCCCCUGGGAUAACACUGACGCUCAUGCACGAAAGCGUGGGGAGCAAACAGGAUUAGAUACCCUGGUAGUCCACGCCCUAAACGAUGUCUACUAGUUGUCGGGACUUAAUUGUCUUGGUAACGCAGCUAACGCGUGAAGUAGACCGCCUGGGGGAGUACGGUCGCAGAUUAAAACUCAAAGGAAUUGACGGGGACCCGCAC
rnacentral:rRNA from 1 species